GACGAACGCUGGCGGCGUGCCUAAUACAUGCAAGUCGAACGCAGUGGGGACGGGUGAGUAACACGUGGGUAACCUCCCAUCAGAGGGGAUAACACUUGGAAACAGUUUCUCAACCGAUACUUCUGUAUGGACCCUCUGUGCAUUAGCUAGUUGGUGAGGUAACGGCUCACCACGGCCACGAUGCAUAGGCGAACUGAGAGGGUGAUCGGACACACUGGGACGGAGACACGGCCCAGACUCAUACGGGAGGCAGCAGUAGGGAAUCUGCGGCAAUGGACGAAAGUCUGACCGAGCAACGCCGCGUGAGUGAAGAAGGUUUUCGGAUCGGAAAACUCUGUUGUUAGAGAAGAGGUAUCUAAACAGAAAGCCACGGCUAACUACGUGCCAGCAGCCGCGGUAAUAC
rnacentral:rRNA from 1 species